AGUAUCGCUCCAUCCACUACUUUCUAUAGUGAUUCAGAAAUUUGCUGUUUAAGCAAAGUAAGAGACUAGGGAAUUUGGCAUACCCUAGGCAGCAAGGGAGCCUGAUGUGCCAUUCCAAGAGGACUUCCUGUGUGCCUCCAGAUGGCCAGGUCUCAGCCUGGUCUUCCUGGACCUAUUGCAAAGAAAGACUUAGAUCAGAGGGCAUUCUGUGCUCCAAGGGCAGAAUGGUGGAAGAGGCAACACACUUCCCAUAUAUUAAUAGGGACCAGUGAUGGUACUAGCUUGGACAGGGGAAAGAAGGCUUUUAGAGCAAGGCUUAUACAAAACAGCCAAAGCAAGUCUCAGCCCUUCCAGCUGGGCAGGAGCCAAGAGCUGGCCUGGAUUUACACUUCACAGACACAUCAUCCAGCUUUAACAUCUCAGCCUGGAGCUCCUGUCUGGCCACAAGAAGUUUGUUGAGGCUCAACAGGGAGCAGUUCAGAGGAGACUCAACAUUAAAGAUGCCUAGAGCAAUUUUUAGCCAAUAAAGAAUGGAGCUGAU